rnacentral:rRNA from 1 species
GACGAACGCUGGCGGCGUGCUUAACACAUGCAAGUCGAACGGAAAGGCCUGCUUUCCCUUGUGGAUUGCGGGUACUCGAGUGGCGAACGGGUGAGUAACACGUGAGUGAUCUGCCCCCAACUUGGGUAUAAGCCUGGGAAACUGGGUCUAAUUCCCGAUAGGACUGCAGGGUGGUGCCUGUGGUGGAAAACGAUUUUCUAGUGGUUGGGGAUGAGCUCGCGGCCUAUCAGCUUGUUGGUGGGGUAAUGGCCUACCAAGGCGGCGACGGGUAGCCGGCCUGAGGGGGUGGACGGCCACAUUGGGACUGAGAUACGGCCCAGACUCCUACGGGAGGCAGCAGUGGGGAAUAUUACACAAUGGGCAGAAGCCUGAUGCAGCGACGCCGCGUGGGGGAUGACGGCCUUCGGGUUGUAAACUCCUUUCGACCGCGAGGAAGCCACCUGGUUGGAGGGGUGGUGACGGUAGUGGUAGAAGAAGCACCGGCUAACUACGUG